rnacentral:lncRNA from 1 species
GGGUCCUUCCCCCCUCCUGCUGCCACCCCAAAUUUGAUAGACCUCCAUGUCAACCCCCAUGUCCCCCCUGUCCCAUUCUGUCCCACUCUGUCCCCCCUGAAGCCCACAUAUCCCUAUGGUUUCCAUGCUUACCAACCAUCCCAAUGGCAGCCGCCAUGUUUCUAGGCCUCACCUCCCAUUUCAGCCCUAAAUCUCCAAUUUUUGGGAUGCUGACCCCCCCCAGUGUCCUCCCAAAUUCAGAAGCCCCCAUAUUAACUCCCUGUGUCCCCACUGUCCUCUCUUGUCCCUCAUGUCCCAUCUGAGGCCCACAUAUCCUUAUGGUUUUCAUACUUACCAACCAUCCCAAUGGCGGCUGCCAUGUUGCUAGGCCUCAUCUCCCAUUUUUGCCCUAAAAUCCCAAUGUUUGGGGUGCUGAACCACCCAAUGUCCCCUAAAGAUGGGUGGCCCCCAUUUUCUUUCCUGCAUCCCAUUCUGUCCCUCCUGAGCCCCACGUAUCCCUAUGGUUUCCAUGGUUACCAACCAUCCUAAUGGCGGCCGCCAUGUUGUUAGGCCUCAUCUCCCAUUUUCACCCCAAAAUCUCCUAUUCUGGGGUCCUUCCCCCCUCCUGCUGCCACCCCAAAUUUGAUAGACCUCCAUGUCAACCCCCAUGUCCUCCUUGUCCCAUUCUGUCCCACUCUGUCCCCCCUCAAGCCCACAUAUCCUUAUGGUUUCCAUGUUUACCAACCAUCCCAAUGGCGGCCGCCAUGUUGCUAGGCCUCAUCUCCCAUUUUUGCCCUAAAAUCCCAAUUUUUGGGGUGCUGAACCCCCCCCAAUGUCCUCCCAAAUUCAGAAGCCCCCAUAUUAACUCCCCGUGUCCCCACUGUCCUCUCUUGUCCCUCGUGUCCCAUCUGAGGCCCACAUAUCCCUCUGUUUUCCAUGGUUACCAACCAUCCCAAUGGCGACCACCAUGUUGCUAGGCCUCAUCUCCCAUUUUCGCCCCAAAAUCUCCUAUUCUGGGGUCCUUCCCCCCUCCUGCUGCCACCCCAAAUUUGAUAGACCUCCAUGUCA